AUGGAGGUUCUCCUGAGAGUGCUCUCGGGCACCCUGCUGUGGCAUCUGGCCUGUGUGAGAAGCCAAGAAAUAGAGCAGAGUCCUCAGGCCUUGACCAUUCAAGAGGGGCAAGAUGUCACUAUCAACUGCAGUUCCUCCGUGCCUCUGUAUGUCCUGCAGUGGUACAGGCAGAAGCGUGGUGAGGGGCUCGAGUUUUUGAUGUUGUUACUGAAAGGUGGAGAUAAGAAGGCUCAAGACGAACUAACUGCCACAAUUGAUGAGAAAAUGAAGCAAAGCUCCCUGCUCAUCUCAGCCUCCCGGCCUAGUCACUCAGUCACCUACUUCUGCGGAGGAAGAGCACAGUGA